UAUUAAGUUGGUGCAAAAGUAAUUGCAGUUUUUGACAUUACUUUCAGUGGCAAAAACUGCAAUUGCUUUUGCGCCAACCUAAUA
rnacentral:miRNA from 1 species